rnacentral:sRNA from 1 species
ACGUACUACGUGUACGCUCCGGGUCCUGUGCGCUGUCCGCACCCAAUCUGGCGGCGCUCGCUACGUCAACU